AGAGAAGCAUGAGCUGGCUAAAGCAUUGAGGAGUGAAGUAGGAGCAGGAAGUCCUUUAUUCUAGUAGACUAGCCUACUUAGUUAAGCUAUGCAGUGAUGAAUUAGAAGUAAUACAUCUUAAGGCAAGGAUUUCAAAUGGUCUCUCUAUUUUUUCUCUUUCCUUCCAUCUGAUUCUGCUCCUUGCCAAAUCCAUUACCUGGACACCUCUCUGCCCAAACACAACUGAGUUGUUUCAUUACAAUCCCCAAUAUUUUUGCUCGGUUAGCAGAAGGAAAUGAUUAGCAAUUGAAGCUCUGAUAUUCGUUGGGCUGUGAAGUUUAGGAUCAACAGUUAACAAGAAUUCAAAGCAAACAAAGGUAUUACAAUUUAUUUAUAUUAUGUUUGUAAUAUAAAGAUUUUGGUAUAAUGAGUUAGUUAGUGGGGUUUCGCAAACUGAAAUGAAAACUGUGAGAUAAUGGCUAACUAUGAUAUAUAUAGAAAUUAUGUUGUAUGGCAUGAGUUAAAAUCAGAAAGUAUAUAAACCAACUAGUUGCUUAUUGUUGUUCUAAUUGUUCAAGCAGGAUGGGGCAUUGAGCAUUAGAAUAGAACAGUUAGUUGUAAAAAAAAAAUUGUUACUUUACUAAGUGCUUAAAUCUUCAUGCUUUGUCUGUGUUUUGGACUGCUAUUGUUUGAUAUAUAGCUAGAGGAGAUAGGUUGGGCUGUGGAGUAAUAAGGAGGAUAAAUAUAGGUUUAUGAUAUAAACCAAUGGCCAUGAAAAGGGUAAAUUGAAACUGUGCACCCUACAUGUUUGACAAAAGUCCCAAGUGGACUGUUUUGAAUAAAAGUCAGUUAUUAGGCAAAUACAAGGCUGGGGAUUGAUUGUUGUAGUUCAUGUGAUUUUAAGUAAAGUGUUUUAGCAUAUUAAACUUAAACACAGUGCAGUUGUUUUUAGGCUAAGUCUAGCAGUUGGAAACUUUAUCAUGUCAAGUCCUUUGGGCCUCUGUGUUGGGCAAUGGUUAAGCCAUGGAUUCAAGUUUAGUACCACUUUUGAUAAGCCACUUAGAUAGCUUUAAAAUUCUAGAGUGAGAGAAUAAGUAACUUGGAGAUCUAUGGUUAAAAAUCUGGCAAAGGGGAGGCUAAGGGAUUGCUGGGCAUGGGUUAAGGGGCAGCUACUAAAUUGCAGCAACAGGUAGCCACAGGUAGCUGCUAGUGCAGACUCAAACAAACCAGUUUGGUUCCAUCACUUAUAGCAUGUCAAGAGUCAUUAGUAAAUUGGGGUCUAAAAUUACACAAAUAAGGAGUAAGGACUGCUACCUAAAGAUAGCAGCAAGUAGCAGUAAAUGGCAGCUAUAGUAGUCCGUACCAGCAACAAACAACAACUGCUGUCUUUUGGCAAUAACAGGUAGCUGCAGGACCAAUUUGACAACUGGGUUUGAUUUAUUUUGGCUACAGUUAGUAAGUGAAGAUAACUAAAGUGUAGUAAAGUUUGGGAUCAAGAGAAUACCAACAGCAGUAAGUAGCUAGGUAUCUCUUGAAAUUUGUUUUAAGUUAACAAAUAUUGUGAGUUUGUAUAAUUUAUAUGUCACUCCAACUUGUUAGCUGUCUCGAGAUUAAAUUUUGUUCAAAGGAGGGGUAAGGGAUGCUGUCAGUUAGCACUAGUAAAUAGCUUUAGCUAACUACUAAUGUAGUAUAAAGCUGGAUAAACUCAGUUGGAGCUGAGUCAACUAAAGCCACAAUAAACCAAUUGAACUCCAUAAAGUCAUAUAUAUAUGGUUGUUAGCAUAAAGGAUAAAAAGCAGGAGCUGCUGCCUUUAGGCAGUAGCAACUGAUAGUAACAAACUGUCAUAGCAGUUUUGGGAGUAUCCUACUAACCCUAUAAUGUAACUUGAAGAUAAAAUCAUGGAGUUGGAUUUAGAACCUCCUAAAUACACAUGCAUAUAAUGAAAACUCAAUUAGUUGGGUAAUGUAAAAGAAAAAAAAAUUAUAUGAAGAGACAUUGUAUGCUAGGGACUGCUAUGAUGUAAUUGGGGCAAUAAGGCCAAAUAUGGCCAUCCCAAGCUUGACUAAGCCCCACAAGGCCAAGCAAAGCUUGAUUGCCACACAGUGGGUCAAGAUGCAUGGAGAAGAAAAACAAGAAAGUUACACUUUUGUAUAUAAAGAUAAAGUUACAAAGUGUUAUGAGAACUAUAAAUUACUCAACCAAGUUGUGAAUAUCUCAAAACAUAAAGGAUCAUAGAAAGAGACUAUUUUGAUAUAGUCUUAAAUCAUGAUAGCCCUAGCACACUAGUUGUUACGAAUGAAUCUAUAAGACAAGAAAAGUAAAGAUAGAGAGAAUCAAAGCAAAUUGGAAACUAAAGUUUUACCUUUAUGAUAAACAAUUAUACUUAAUAUAUGAAAUACCUUACGUAUUCACCUUGAAUACCUAAGUUAUAAAGAAGAUUGCUAUAUUUAUGGCAAACCAAAAGAAGUAAAAGGAGUAUGAACUAAAAUCAUGAAAAGUUCAUGAACAUAAAUUAUGUUAAACCCUAUAAAAGAAAGAAAUGGUUGUUAUAAGAACAUGGAUGAGAUAUUUGAAAAAUGUAAAGAAAUAUCUCAAGUAUGGGAGUAUAAACUAAAAACAUGAUCACUGUGACUAUGUGAUAUGUGAAUAUGCAAGUUAUAUGACUUGGCUAAUUGGCUAAUAUGUUUGUGAAUGCAAAUAAUUGUGUAGGAUCUGUGAGAACAAAGUAAGCUGAAAUUGUAUCAAUAGUCUACGAUCAAGGCAAGUAUCUAAAUCUUACUCUUUAUUGAGCAAGUAUUUUGAGAUUAUUCAUAUGUUGACAGGUUCUCUAAUUUCUGAACUGUCUUUCAUUAUUUAUGAAUAUUGUAAGAUUGAAUAAUCUUUUUAAUCCAAUCAGCUUCAAAAGAUUGGGUAAGCUAUUAUAUUAUGCAUGAGCAGGUUGCAAAGAUGUCUGAGCCAUUCCUUCUGGCCAGACACAGCUAUGAAAUAUUUCAAUUUCUUUAUAUUAAGUCUUGAAAUAUUAUUGUGCCAUGAUUUAAGCUGUCCAGCUAUAUUGUUGUAGUUGGAAUCUAAAACUGAGGAUGAACAUACCCUUAAAUGGGAUAUUUUUAUUGCACUCUGGGAGUGGUGAUGUAGAACAUGAAAAUUGUUCUGGAAAAGAUAAUAUUGAUCAAUACAGGGCAUAAAUGGUUGAUCACCCUACGUGCUCGUAAGUUAAGACGGUUCAUCUGAUAAAAUUUCUGAUUGAACCUUUUCAAGAAAAGAAAAAUAUGUUCAUGGUCUUAAAACCUCUCAGUUAUUCAAUGUUGUUAUGAUAUUUUAGAACUGUGAAUGGUUCAAGAUUUAUUGUUUUACAGUUUUGAUUCACUGUCAAAGCAUGCUUCAAAGAAAACAUUUAUUUCUUGUUGAGCCUUAAAGAAUGCUAUUACUUGCUGAGCAAUUAAUGCUCAUACUUGCUUUGUUAAAAAUGUUUUCAGCUGAGCCGGCUCGUGCAGAAGGGUCUGGAAAGGACAAGGGAAAAAGAAAAGUAAUAGAAUAGCUGGAAGUUGAUGUAAUAGAUAAUUUACAUGUUUGUAAAUAUUAAAUUCAUGAAAUGAACAUUUAAAGGUCUACGUACCUGGGAUUUGAAGAACUUUGAUGUAAUAACUUUACUAAGAUUAUGUUUAUUAUAUUCUGAAUGUUUUAUAUCGUGAGCACUGAAUAAGGGUUUCAAGUACCCGAAUUUGGGGGCGUCACAGGGUGGUAUCAAAGCUUUAAGUUAGAAACCUUAGGAUGGGAACCUUUGGUUAUAACUUUAAGUUAGUGAGACAUAUAUGAAAUAAAUAACUCAUAUAGAGUUGAAAAGAGAUGGACUGUGGAAGUUCAUUAUAAAAUGUAAAUGAAAAUAAUUUAAAAAUAACUGUCAUUUGUUAUUUGUUAAAUAACUUGUAUUAUGUAUUAAUCAAGUUAUUUGUUUGUCUAUGGGAUGGCUGAAAUUCAAGAAGAAUUAGUUAUUAAUGAGGAGCAGAUCGCUCUAUAGCCUAUAGCACCUGUUCAGGCACCAGUUCAGGUCAUAGACCUAGACCUUGAUCUUGUCGUAAAGGAUGAGGACCCUGAGGAGGAGGUCAAUGAAGUAUCAUGGGGAUAUCUUUUGAAAUCCUAACCUGGUAAUGGUUAAGGAUUUUAGUAUGUAAACCUUUUGAUAACAAGGUAGAGAUGUUAUGUAAAUAGCAAAUGAGAAUGUUAUAGUAUGUUAUAGCCGGAGGAGCUAUUAAAGAUAGAAAUGUUAAGGCAUAUGUAAAAGCAUGUUAAAUAUAUAAUAAUAUUAAAUAUGUUUGUUAUGGAUGUUAUUGUUCUACAUUAUGAAUGAAUGUUCUAAUAAUAAAUGGUUUAAUAAUAAUAAUAAAUAUUAUUAAAUAGAUAAAAUGCCACCCAGAAUUAGAGGAGGAAGAGUACCUAGGGUACGAAGAAAUGUCAAUGAAGAACCUAAUAUUGAGAAUAGAAAUGAAGAGGUUCAUAAAAAAAUGAAAAUAGGAAUGAGGCCCAAGAGAAUCCUAUAUAGCAAUUUGCAUGUUUUAUGAUGGAAGGUUUUCAGAACAGGAAUGCUCCACCACCUAAUGUGAAUGUACCACCACCACCAGCUGUUCACCUGGCUAGCUUCAAAGAUUUUAAGAGUGUAGGACCUCCUGAAUUUAGAGGGACUACCGAACCAAUGAUGCCCAGUCCUGGAUCAAAGAAAUGGAGAAAGUCUUUGAGAUUGCCAGGGUAAGUAUGGAGCAGAAAACUUCAUUUGCUACCUAUAUGCUGAAAGGGGAAGCAAAUUUUUGGUGGGAAGCGAAUAAGACCAGAGCCGGUACAUGUGUAAUAAGAUGGUCAAAUUUUAAGAAACUUUUCUUUAAAAAUUACUUUCCUCCUGGAAUGCAAAGCAGAAUGGAAGUCCGAUUACUUGAUUUUAAACAAGGUGAUAUGAUUGUAUCCGAGUAUACAGCCAAGUUCAAUGAGUUGGCACGAUUUGCUCCACAUCAAGUAAAUACGGAAGAACAGAAAGCGAGACGGUUUGAGUUAGGCUUAAAGCCUUGGAUCUACAACAAGUUGUCAGUGUUAUAGAUCAGAACUUUUUCCGCUCUCCUUGAGAAAACAAUAAUAGCAGGAAGUGGUAGCUAAACAGGAGGUAGGUAUAAUAAGGAUAAAAAGAAUAAAGGUCAGUCAGAAGGGUUGGUUAAACCAGAGGGUACUAGCAAGUGGAAUAAGAAAAGGAAAUGGAAUAACUUUGGGAACAUGAGUAGUGUUCAAAGGGGACAACAAAAGAAGAAAGCUGAAGCUUGCAAGAAAUGUGGAAAGAGUCAUUUGGGCAUUUGUCUAAAAGGACAAAUGGUUUGUUACAAGUGUGGACAGGAGGGACAUAUUUCUCCUAACUGUCUAAAUCCAAAGAAAAAUUCUGCGUGUUUUGUUUGUGGAUCAACGGAUCACUUUGCCAGAAAUUGUCCGAAGAAACGAGCAGAGGGAGGAAGCAGUGGCACUAAAGUGCUUCCAAUUGGUAUAUCUACGCCAAAUAAGCCAACUGCCAGAACCUUCACUGUGACGACAAAGGAUGAGGUAACAUCUAAGGAUGUGGUUUCAGGUAUUGUCCCGAUCAAUAAUAUUAAUGCCUAUGUACUAUUUGAUUCUGGGGCAACCAGUUCUUUUGUAUCACAUGAAUUCGCUAAGCACAUAGAAAUGCCUUUAUCGAAUUUAGACAUACCCAUGAAUAUAGAAGUAGCUAAUAAGGAAGUGAUUCCUGUAGAACAUGUCUAUAGGGACUGUUGCAUUAAGAUAGGAGAACGUGGACUUACAGUAGAUCUAAUUCUGAUACAACUUGAGGAAUUUGAUAUUAUUUUGGGAAUGGAUUGGUAGUUCAAGCAUGGAGCAACCAUUGAUUACCAAAGAAAAUUUGUGAGUUUUAAACCUGCAGACCAAACGACGAUCGUGUUUUACGGCAGUAAAUCACCGAAGCAGUCACGAUGCUUAACGAUGAUGCAAGCAAAGAAGUUAUUACAAAAAGGUUGUAUGGGUUAUCUUGCAUAUAUAGUGGAUACUCAACAAAAAGGAGCGAAGAUAUAAGACAUUGUGGUAGUAAAUGAGUUUGUAGAUGUUUUCCCUGACGAGUUGCCAGGCCUUCUGCCAGACGGGAAAUAGAAUUCGUUAUCGAUUUGGCACCAGGUACGACACCAAUUUCAAAAGCACUGUACAGAAUUGCUCCUGUAGAAAUGAAGGAAUUGAUGUUACAAUUGCAAGAAUUACUGGAUAAGGAAUACAUUCGAUCCAGUACGUGUCCUUGGGGAGCGCCCGUGUUGUUUGUAAAGAAGAAAGAUGAAUCGUUAAGACUUUGUAUUGACUACAGAAAGUUAAACAAAGUGACGAUCAAGAAUAAAUAUCCUUUGCCCAGAAUCGACGAUAUUUUUGAUCAACUAAAAGGGGAGAAAUAUUUUUCAAAAAAAUAGAUUUGAGAACUGGAUACCAUCAAUUGAAGGAAAGAGAUGAAGAUGUUCCAAAAACAACAUUCUGGACUCGUUAUGGUCAUUACGAGUUUUUGGUUAUGUCUUUUGGAUUAACGAAUGCACCAUCUGCAUUCAUGGAUAUAAUGAACAGAAUAUUCAAACCAUACUUGGAUAAGUUUGUGGUAGUAUUCAUAGAUGAUAUUCUGAUCUAUUCCAAGACACAGAAUGAUCAGGCUGACCAUUUGAGAAUAGUGUUGGAAACACUAAGAAAGGAAAAGUUAUAUGCGAAAUUCAGUAAAUGUGAAUUCUGGCUAGAAAGAGUUCAAUUUUUGGGUCACGUGAUUGACAAAGAUAGAUUAUCUGUGGAUCCAGCGAAAGUAGAAGCAAUUAUGAACUGGGAGCAGCCGAAGAUGCCUACUGAAGUGCGUAGUUUCUUAGGGUUAGCGGGAUAUUAUCGGAGAUUCAUUCAAGAUUUUUCAAAGAUAGCCACCCCGUUAACUAACCUGAUAAGGAAGACAGUUAAAUUUGUAUGGAAUGAGAAAUGUGAAGAGUUUUCAAGAACUCAAGAAAAGAUUGAGUAAUGCUCCAGUGUUGUCCUUACCCGAUGAAACAGGGAAUUUUGUGGUAUAUAGUGAGGCAUCACACAAAGGUUUGGGAUGUGUCCUUAUGCAGCACGGGAAGGUUAUUGCAUACGCAUCACGACAAUUAAAAGAUUAUGAGAAAGGAUAUCCUACUCACGAUUUAGAAUUGGCAGCCGUGGUGUUUGCUUUAAAAAUUUGGAGGUACUAUUUGUAUAGAGAAAAUGUGAAAUAUAUACAGAUCAUAAAAGUCUAAAAUAUAUUUUCACACAGAAGAAGCUAAAUAUGAGACAAAGAAGAUGGCUGGAAUUGAUUAAGGAUUAUGAUUAUGAAAUCCUGUAUCACUCAGGUAAGGCAAAUGUGGUAGCUGACGCCUUAAGUAAAAAAAAAGGUCGCGAAAAAUUGAUGUUAUUAACAGAUCAAGAUGAGUUAGUAACAGCUAUGGAAAGAAUGGAGUUAGACGUUAAAUUUCCACAAAAAUCAGAUGAAAAGUUGUAUUCAAUAGAGACUUGCUCAACCCUUUUGGAUAGAAUUAAGGAAGCACAAUUUAAGGAUAGGGAAUGUGAGAAAUUGAAAGAGAAAAUUUCAUCAAGAAAAGAAGGAAAGUUUAACUUCGAUAAUGAUGGAAUUAUUAGAUUUGAAGGGAGAAUCUGGGUUCCGACAGAACUGGAACUGAAAGAAGAAAUACUACAAGAAGCUCAUUGUUCAAGAUACACAAUUCAUCCUGGCAGUACCAAAAUGUAUCAAGACCUCCGACAACAUUUUUGGUGGCCAAGUAUGAAAAGAGAGGUUGCAGAGUAUGUUAGCAGAUGUUUAACUUGUCAACAAAUAAAAGCUGAACAUCAAAAACCUAGUGGUCUAUUAUAGCCAUUGGAAAUUCCUGAAUGGAAAUGGGAGCAUAUCACAAUGGAUUUUAUGGUAGGACUUCCGAGGACGCAAAAAGGAGUUGAUGCGAUUUGGGUUAUAGUUGAUCGAUUAACAAAAUUGACACACUUUUUGCCAAUCAAGAUUAGAUAUAAUCUAGAUCAGUUAGCUAAUCUCUACAUCAAGGAGAUUAUUUCCCGACAUGGAGUGCCAGUAUCCAUUGUUUCGGACAGAGAUCCAAGAUUUACUUCAAAUUUUUGGAUAAGCUUAUAAGAACAUCUGGGCACACAAUUAAGAUUAAGUACAGCCUAUCAUCCAUAGACAGAUGGACAGACUGAGAGAACACUACAAACUCUGGAGGAUAUGCUACGUGCAUGUGUUAUGGACUUCAAGGGAAGUUGGGACGAUCACUUACCUCUGAUAGAAUUUACAUACAACAACAGCUAUCACGCUAGUAUAGGCAUGUCACCUUAUGAAGCGUUGUAUGGAAGGAAAUGUAGAACACCCUUGUGUUGGGAUGAAGUGGGCGAAUGUCGUCUACUAGGUUCCGAACUGGUACAACAAACUGUAGAAGUAGUUAAGUGGAUACGAAUGUGACUAAUAGCGGCUCAAGAUCGUCAGAAAAAGUAUGCAGAUUUGCAUAGACAGAAAAUAGAUUUUGAAGUCGGAUCGCAUGUGUUUCUGAAAGUAUUUCCCUGGAAAGGGAAGAUACGUUUUGGAAAGAAAGAAAAGUUAAGUCCUCGUUUUAUAGGACCGUUUAAGAUCUUGAGAAAAAUGAGAGAGGUAUCUUACAAAGUAGCCUUACCUCCGGAACUAGAACAUGUUCACAAUGUGUUUCACGUGUCAGUCUUACGACCGUACAAACCAUACUAUAAACAUAUGAUAGAAUAUGAGCCUAUCCAAUUUGAGAAAGAUUUAACCUACGAAGAGGUUCCUGUGCAAAUAUUGGAUAGGAAAGAGUAAAUUUUGCGAAGUAAGACAAUACCUUCAGUAAAGGUAUUGUGGAGAAAUCACAACGAUGAAGAAGCAACGUGGGAGUUAGAAGAAAGAAUGAAAAAGAAUUAUCCGCUUUUGUUUGGGUAAUUGUACUUUACGAUUUCGAGGACGAAAUCUUUGUAAGGGAGGGAAAAUGUAACAAAUCGCAUUUUCUUGAGUAAAUAAAAUAAGAAUUUAUUGGAAUAAUUAAUAUUUUUUUUAAGUAUGUGUUAUUAUAUUGCAUAUAUUAUCAUGUGCAGUAUAAUAUGUGAUGUGGUGAUAUGUCAAGUAUAAUAAUUGAUAUUUAUUAUAUUUAAUAAAUACCCUCUACUUUGACGGAAAUAAUUUACGGAUAUUUUAUCCGAAUUUUUGAAAUGCAUUUUAGAAUAUCUAAAAUACGUUAUAUAUGGUGCGAUAAGUAUAGAAAGGGAGGUAAUUGUUUAUUCUUGCCAAACACAGCCUUAAAUUAAAGCUUAACAGAUAAAACAAUUUUAAAAAAAAAUUAGCAUGAGCUGUAGCACUCAAACAAGAGAAGCAUGAGAGGGCUAAAGCAUUGAGGAGUGAAGUAGGAGCAGGAAGUCCUUUAUUCUAGUAGACUAGCCUACUUAGUUAAGCUAUGCAGUGAUGAAUUAGAAGUAAUACAUCUUAAGGCAAGGAUUUCAAAUGGUCUCUCUAUUUUUUCUCUUUCCUUCCAUCUGAUUCUGCUCCUUGCCAAAUCCAUUACCUGGACACCUCUCUGCCCAAACACAACUGAGUUGUUUCAUUACAAUCCCCAAUAUUUUUGCUCGGUUAGCAGAAGGAAAUGAUUAGCAAUUGAAGCUCUGAUAUUCGUUGGGCUGUGAAGUUUAGGAUCAACAGUUAACAAGAAUUCAAAGCAAACAAAGGUAUUACAAUUUAUUUAUAUUAUGUUUGUAAUAUAAAGAUUUUGGUAUAAUGAGUUAGUUAGUGGGGUUUCGCAAACUGAAAUGAAAACUGUGAGAUAAUGGCUAACUAUGAUAUAUAUAGAAAUUAUGUUGUAUGGCAUGAGUUAAAAUCAGAAAGUAUAUAAACCAACUAGUUGCUUAUUGUUGUUCUAAUUGUUCAAGCAGGAUGGGGCAUUGAGCAUUAGAAUAGAACAGUUAGUUGUAAAAAAAAAAUUGUUACUUUACUAAUUGCUUGAAUCUUCAUGCUUUGUCUGUGUUUUGGACUGCUAUUGUUUGAUUUAUAGCUAGAGGAGAUAGGUUGGGUUGUGGAGUAAUAAGGAGGAUAAAUAUAGAUUUAUGAUAUAAACCAAUGGCCAUGAAAAGGGUAAAUUGAAACUGUGCACCCUACAUGUUUGACAAAAGUCCCAAGUGGACUGUUUUGAAUAAAAGUCAGUUAUUAGGCAAAUACAAGGCUGGGGAUUGAUUGUUGUAGUUCAUUUGAUUUUAAGUAAAGUGUUUUAGCAUGUUAAACUUAAACACAGUGCAGUUGUUUUUAGGCUAAGUCUAGCAGUUGGAAACUUUAUCAUGUCAAGUCCUUUGGGCCUCUGUGUUGGGCAAUGGUUAAGCAAUGGAUUCAAGUUUAGUACCACUUUUGAUAAGCCACUUAGAUAGCUUUAAAAUUCUAGAGUGAGAGAAUAAGUAACUUGGAGAUCUAUGGUUAAAAAUCUGGCAAAGGGGAGGCUAAGGGAUUGCUGGGCAUGGGUUAAGGGGCAGCUACUAAAUUGCAGCAACAGGUAGCCACAGGUAGCUGCUAGUGCAGACUCAAACAAACCAGUUUGGUUCCAUCACUUAUAGCAUGUCAAGAGUCAUUAGUAAAUUGGGGUCUAAAAUUACACAAAUAAGGAGCAAGGACUGCUACCUAAAGAUAGCAGCAAGUAGCAGUAAAUGGCAGCUAUAGUAGUCCGUACCAGCAACAAACAGCAACUGCUGUCUUUUGGCAAUAACAAGUAGCUGCAGGACCAAUUUGACAACUGGGUUUGAUUUAUUUUGGCUACAGUUAAUAAGUGAAGAUAACUAAAGUGUAGUAAAGUUUGGGAUCAAGAGAAUAAGCUACUGCCCAAUGGCAGUAGCUGUUACCAACAGCAGUAAGUAGCUAGGUAUCUCUUGAAAUUUGUUUUAAGUUAACAAAUAUUGUGAGUUUGUAUAAUUUAUAUGUCACUCCAACUUGUUAGCUGUCUCGAGAUUAAAUUUUGUUCAAAGGAGGGGUAAGGGAUGCUGUCAGUUAGCACUAGUAAAUAGCUUUAGCUAACUACUAAUGUAGUAUAAAGCUGGAUAAACUCAGUUGGAGCUAAGUCAACUAAAGCCACAAUAAACCAAUUGAACUCCAUAAAGUCAUAUAUAUAUGGUUGUUAGCAUAAAGGAUAAAAAGCAGGAGCUGCUGCCUUUAGGCAGUAGCAACUGAUAGUAACAAACUGUCAUAGCAGUUUUGGGAGUAUCCUACUAACCCUAUAAUGUAAGUUGAAGAUAAAAUCACGGAGUUGGAUUUAGAACCUCCUAAAUACACAUGCAUAUAAUGAAAACUCAAUUAGUUGGGUAAUGUAAAAGAAAAAAAAAUUAUAUGAAGAGACAUUGUAUGCUAGGGACUGCUAUGAUGUAAUUGGGGCAAUAAGGCCAAAUAUGGCCAUCCCAAGCUUGACUAAGCCCCACAAGGCCAAGCAAAGCUUGAUUGCCACACAGUGGGUCAAGAUGCAUGGGAGAAGAAAAAUAAGAAAGUUACACUUUUGUAUAUAAAGAUAAAGUUACAAAGUGUUAUGAGAACUAUAAAUUACUCAACCAAGUUGUGAAUAUCUCAAAACAUAAAGGAUCUUAGAAAGAGACUGUUUUGAUAUAGUCUUAAAUCAUGAUAGCCCUAGCACACUAGUUGUUACGAAUGAAUCUAUAAGACAAGAAAAGUAAAGAUAGAGAGAAUCAAAGCAAAUUGGAAACUAAAGUUUUACCUUUAUGAUAAACAAUUAUACUUAAUAUAUGAAAUACCUUACGUAUUCACCUUGAAUACCUAAGUUAUAAAGAAGAUUGCUAUAUUAUGGCAAACCAAAAGAAGUAAAAGGAGUAUGAACUAAAAUCAUAAAAAGUUCAUGAACAUAAAUUAUGUUAAACCCUAUAAAAGAAAGAAAUGGUUGUUAUAAGAACAUGGAUGAGAUAUUUGAAAAAUGUAAAGAAAUAUCUCAAAGUAUGGGAGUAUAAACUAAAAACAUGAUCACUGUGACUAUGUGAUAUGUGAAUAUGCAAGUUAUAUGACUUGGCUAAUUGGCUAAUAUGUUUGUGAAUGCAAAUAAUUGUGUAGGAUCUGUGAGAACAAAGUAAGCUAAAAUUGUAUCAAUAGUCUACGAUCAAGGGAAGUAUCUAAAUCUUACUCUUUAUUGAGCAAGUAUUUUGAGAUUAUUCAUAUGUUGACAGGUUCUCUAAUUUCUAAACUGUUUUUCAUUAUUUAUGAAUAUUGUAAGAUUGAAUAAUCUUUUUAUUCCAAUCAGCUUCAAAAGAUUGGGUAAGCUAUUAUCUUAUGCAUGAGCAGGUUGCAAAGAAGUUUGAGCCAUUCCUUCUGGCCAGACACAGCUAUGAAAUAUUUCAAUUUCUUUAUAUUAAGUCUUGAAAUAUUAUUGUGCCAUGAUUUAAGCUGUCCAGCUAUAUUGUUGUAGUUGGAAUCUAAAACUGAGGAUGAACAUACCCUUAAAUGGGAUAUUUUUAUUGCACUCUGGGAGUGGUGAUGUAGAACAUGAAAAUUGUUCUGGAAAAGAUAGUAUUGAUCAAUACAGGGCAUAAAGGGCUGAUCACCCUACGUGCUCGUAAGUUAAGACGGUUUUUUGAUUGAACCUUUUCAAGAAAAGAAAAAUAUGUUCAUGGUCUUAAAACCUCUCAGUUAUUCAAUGUUGUUAUGAUAUUUUAGAACUGUGAAUGGUUCAAGAUUUAUUGCUUUACAGUUUUGAUUCACUGUCAAAGCAUGCUUCAAAGAAAACAUUUAUUUCUUGUUGAGCCUUAAAGAAUGCUAUUACUUGCUAAGCAAUUAAAUGCUCAUACUUGUUUUGUUAAAAAUAUUUUCAGCUGAGCAGGCUCAUGCAGAAGGGUCUGGAAAGGACAAGGGAAAAAGAAAAGUAAUAGAAUAGCUAGAAGUUGAUGUAAUAGAUAAUUUACAUGUUUGUAAAUAUUAAACUAUCAUGAAAUGAACAUUUAAAGGUCUACGUACC
rnacentral:lncRNA from 1 species